UCCCAAUUUUUUUAUUUUGUACCAAUAGCCCAAUAUAAAAAUGUACAAAUCUGAACAAAUGUACCAAUCGAGUGACACUGCCUUAAAAAUUUAUGCAAUU